UAGCAUCGGUGAGCUCCGUAGCAGCACAAGGUAUCCGUACCGGGUUACUUUGUGUGACUAACGGCUGAUAAUACAUUACAGCGUACCUUGUAGUGGGGGAUAGCUCGGCGAAAGCCGGAUUAAUACCGCAUACGCUCUGAGGAGGAAAGCGGGGGACCUUCGGGCCUCGCGCUACAAGAGCGGCCGAUGUCAGAUUAGCUAGUUGGUGAGGUAAAAGCUCACCAAGGCGACGAUCUGUAGCUGGUCUGAGAGGACGACCAACCACACUGGGACUGAGACACGGCCCAGACUCCUACGGGAGGCAGCAGUGGGGAAUUUUGGACAAUGGGCGAAAGCCUGAUCCAGCAAUGCCGCGUGUGUGAAGAAGGCCUUCGGGUUGUAAAGCACUUUUGUCCGGAAAGAAAUCCUCUGGGUUAAUACCUCGGGGGGAUGACGGUACCGGAAGAAUAAGCACCGGCUAACUACGUGCCAUCAGCCGCGGUAAUACCUAGGGUGCAAGCGUUAAUCGGAAUUACUGGGCGUAAAGCGUGCGCAGGCGGUUUUGUAAGACGGAUGUGAAAUCCCCGGGCUUAACCUGGGAACUGCAUUCGUGACUGCAAGGCUAGAGUAUGGCACAGGGGGGUAGAAUUCCACGUGUAGCAGUGAAAUGCGUAGAGAUGUGGAGGAAUACCGAUGGCGAAGGCAGCCCCCUGGGCCAAUACUGACGCUCAUGCACGAAAGCGUGGGGAGCAAACAGGAUUAGAUACCCUGGUAGUCCACGCCCUAAACGAUGUCAACUAGUUGUUGGGGAUUCAUUUCCUUAUUAACUAGGUAACGCGUGAGUUGACCGCCGGGGGAGUACAGGUCGCAGAUUAAAACUCAAGGAAUUGACGUGGACCCGGCACAAGCCGUGGAUGAUGGUGGAUUAUUCCAUGCACGCGAAAAACCUUAACUACCCUUGACAUGUCCGAACUCCUGAUCAUAGUUGGAGUGGUCUAAAGAUAACAGAAACAGGUCUGCAUGGCUUUCUCCACUCGAGUCUGGAGUGUGAGUAAGUCUUAACCACGGCAGCCUUGUCUAAUUGCUUCCUAGAUGACCCAAGGAUACGGCCUGUGUACAAAAUGUCGAAAGUGGGGGAUGACGGAGGGCGUGCGGGCCCUAUGCGUAGGGUCCCAUGUGUAUAAGUGUCACAUAUCCGCUGGCAUACGCGGGGGGCGUAAUCAC
rnacentral:rRNA from 2 species